GAUGAAGAACGCAGCGAAAUGCGAUAAGUAAUGUGAAUUGCAGAAUUCAGUGAAUCAUCGAAUCUUUGAACGCACAUUGCGCCCGCCAGUAUUCUGGCGGGCAUGCCUGUUCGAGCGUCAUUACAACCCUCAGGCCCCCGGGCCUGGCGUUGGGGAUCGGCGGAAGCCCCCUGCGGGCACAACGCCGUCCCCCAAAUACAGUGGCGGUCCCGCCGCAGCUUCCAUUGCGUAGUAGCUAACACCUCGCAACUGGAGAGGGGCGCGGCCACGCCGUAAAACACCCAACUUCUGAAUGUUGACCUCGAAUCAGGUAGGAAUAUCCGCUGAACUUAAGCAUAUCAAUAAGCGGAGGA
rnacentral:misc_RNA from 1 species